rnacentral:rRNA from 1 species
AUUGAACGCUGGCGGCAUGCCUUACACAUGCAAGUCGAACGGAUCAGAGGAGCUUGCUCUUCUGGUUAGUGGCGAACGGGUGAGUAAUGCAUCGGAACGUACCCAGUAGUGGGGGAUAACGUAGCGAAAGUUACGCUAAUACCGCAUACGACCUGAGGGUGAAAGCAGGGGAUCGCAAGACCUUGCGCUAUUGGAGCGGCCGAUGUCGGAUUAGCUAGUUGGUAGGGUAAAAGCCUACCAAGGCGACGAUCCGUAGCUGGUCUGAGAGGACGACCAGCCACACUGGGACUGAGACACGGCCCAGACUCCUACGGGAGGCAGCAGUGGGGAAUUUUGGACAAUGGGGGAAACCCUGAUCCAGCCAUGCCGCGUGAGUGAAGAAGGCCUUCGGGUUGUAAAGCUCUUUCAGACGGAAAGAAAUCUUCCGGGCUAAUACCUCGGGAGGAUGACGGUACCGUAAGAAGAAGCACCGGCUAACUACGUGCCAGCAGCCGCCGCGG